GAUGUCGUGGCAGAAGGGGUUCUGCGCAAGACUAUAGUUCACGCUUGAUGUCUUGUUCCUUUAGGAGUGCCCGUUCGAAUCGGGUCGACAUCA